UUGUAUAUAAAUACUACCCUGAACGCGCCUGAUCUUGUCUGAUCUCGGAAGCUAAGCAGGGCCUGGUUAGUACUUGGAUGGGAGGCACUUUUUUUUAUUAC
rnacentral:rRNA from 1 species